AGCGUAGACGGUGUGGCAAGUCUGAUGUGAAAGGCAUGGGCUCAACCUGUGGACUGCAUUGGAAACUGUCAUACUUGAGUGCCGGAGGGGUAAGCGGAAUUCCUAGUGUAGCGGUGAAAUGCGUAGAUAUUAGGAGGAACACCAGUUGCGAAGGCGGCUCUCUGGACUGUAACUGACACUGAGGAGCGAAAGCGUGGGAGCGAACA
rnacentral:rRNA from 1 species